AUGCACGCUGGCGGCGUGCCUAAUACAUGCAAGUCGCGCGAACAGACGAGGAGCUUGCCCCUCUGACGUUAGCGGCGGACGGGUGAGUAACACGUGGAUAACCUACCUAUAAGACUGGGAUAACUUCGGGAAACCGGAGCUAAUACCGGAUAAUAUAUUGAACCGCAUGGUUCAAUAGUGAAAGACGGUUUUGCUGUCACUUAUAGAUGGAUCCGCGCCGCAUUAGCUAGUUGGUAAGGUAACGGCUUACCAAGGCAACGAUGCGUAGCCGACCUGAGAGGGUGAUCGGCCACACUGGAACUGAGACACGGUCCAGACUCCUACGGGAGGCAGCAGUAGGGAAUCUUCCGCAAUGGGCGAAAGCUUGACGGAGCAACGCCGCGUGAGUGAUGAAGGUCUUCGGAUCGUAAAACUCUGUUAUUAGGGAAGAACAAAUGUGUAAGUAACUAUGCACGUCUUGACGGUACCUAAUCAGAAAGCCACGGCUAACUACGUG
rnacentral:rRNA from 1 species